AAGAGACAUGCUCACAGAAAGACAGACAGACAUACGUUUUCUGUGAUUCAAAUAGACAGACACAUACCCAUGAGUGCACACACACACACACACACACACACACACACACACACACACACACACACACACACACACACACACACACACACACACACACAGAUACGUACACAUGGUCUUGCUGCUGAGGAUAACAGAUUAUUUUGGAAAGUUUAAUUUAAUUUAUUACAGCAAUAUCUAAUUUCUGCAUUUAUUUACCUUUUUAAUCUCUCUCUUGUCAUUUCUGCUUCAGCGUAUCAUUUGUUAUUUGGAGCAGAUUCAGAGUUUAAAUUCAGCAAAAGAAGCAUUGCAGCAGUAGUAAACAGCGCUGUCUCGCAUACCAGAUCCUGUCACACCCACGGGCAGAAAGACACUUGUCUAUUUCUUUAGUUUUCCCUUGGUCUAACCUGCUCCCAUAACACGUGUCUGUCAACACACUCCCACUGGUCUCCACUGUCCCCAGACUGAGAUGUCAGUCAUCAUCACUUUGAAGUACAUAUGUAGGCUGGAGAAACAGAAUCCAAUCAGCUACAAAGAACUGUGUGUAUUCUACCAGAGGGGUUGUCUGUCAGUUUCCAGUUCCUAACUUGGGGUUGUAUGUCAAUCAAACGGCUAUUUUCAACUUUCAAAAAUCCUUGUCAAUCGAGAGACCAAGCCUCUUGUUUUUGUAGUGGGUUUGCAAUGGCAAAGUACAAAGUGCUUCCUUACCUGUGUCUGUUCUUUAGGGCAAGAUGCAUUGCUGAGCCAUUGCACCUCCGACUACUGUAGCCACCAAUCAAUCGAGAAGCUUCCAUGCACAUGUGCGCAUGCACACACACAUACACGGACAGAAAUACACAGACAGACCGACAGACAGACAGACAGACACACACAUACACAACCUCACAUAUCAUGUACUUCAGUAGAAAUCAUUGUACAUAAAUAUGGAAUGUUUCAUUUUACAGUGUUUAAUGAACUUACAGACUUUUUAAAAUCAAGUGCGCAACUGAAAAAAAAGGUUAACAUGAAUGUCCAUAGUGUACAUUCUAAUUCUCUUGUGCCAAUGACAGCACGUGUAGCAUUCGAUCCAUCUCUUUCUGUCUGUCUCUCUCUUUUUCUCUCUCUUUCUAUCUAUCUAUCUAUCUAUCUAUCUAUCUAUCUAUCUAUCUAUCUAUCUAUCUUCCUAUCUAUCUAUCUGAAUGGAUGAGGAACUGGUGGGAAUGCCUGUACAUUGUGAUGCUGCAGUGUCCUUUGUGUCCAUACAAAAUGAACAACCACAGCAGAGCUGUAAAUAUGUUUAUUAUAGGGAAGAAGGGAUUUUGACAGGACCAUAGUGUCCAUAGUGUUACUGUGGACUUCCUUAUCAUGGGCCGUUGUGUUUGUGUGUGCGUCAUGGGAAUAUGAUUUGUGAUGAUCGAUAUGCACACUGGGACCUUUGCCCACAAAGGACAAACUUUGACGGGAAGACAAAACUAACUGAUUCCAUCAUCUUUCUUGGUGAUAUGAAGCAUUUUUAAUGGGUCAUGCAAAAUAAUUAAGCUUCACAUCUACUUUACAUAUCAUUGUGAAGAUGCAAGUGAACAUAGAAUAAAUAUGUGAUGAAUACAUCUGAUGUUUUUUCUGAUGAAGGCGAGUGUGUUCACUUUAAAUUAGAAUUGGUUGCGGUUGAACAACAGAUAUCUGACAGAGGACGACUUGGCAUGCGGAAUAAUCACGGGUAAAGUGUUGAAAGUAAAUUUGCAAUCAGCCACUGUUGGUUAAUAUAUUUAAAUUUCCUACAUUCAAGGUAAAGUUGGAUUGAAGAAAGUUCUCCAAAGGCAAACUUUGAAACCACCCACUGGCUUCAUGACAUUUACCAUGUGAGCCUUAAAUAGUCAUUUCACAGGAAUAGUUUGCAUAUUACGUAAGGCAUAUCUUGACGUGCAGUUUCUUUCUGUAAGGUUGGAUCGCAGACAUGUCUCUACACAAGACAAGAUGAAUAUCUGCCCAGCAUGAUUAGAAAGACAAAGAGCAAAUCCUUAUUAGAGUUAGUUCUUCAUUUAAUAAGAGCAACAUGGAAUUAUGACGGUGUACAGACUUUUCUUCCCUUUCAACCCUCGCACGCAACCAGAUACAUUCAAAGACACACACACAUACACGAACACACACACGGACACACACGAACACACACAGACACACACACACACUGAAUAUUUCAUUACGCUCUUCUGUGAACAGGGAGAUAUGCCAGCAGCUCUUCUUCACUUCCAUGACUUGCGAACACAGAGGGGAGGGAGGUGUGCUUAUCUCUUUUUUUUAAACUGGUUUGUUUGUUUGCGUGGGCUG
ensembl:lncRNA